GGCCUGGUUUAUCUUCUCCGUCGGCGUGGGUGGGGGUUUGACCGACCGUGUUCAUUCCUCUUCGCGUGCAAGAUUUCGUCUCGAUUCCGGCCGAUUCGCGGUGCCUUUGCUCUUCGAUCUGCCGUUUUCUUUCUUUUUAAUGGCGAAUCUUGCCUAUUCCCGUGCUAAUCACGUCUUUUGUUUCCGCGAUUUAGGUCUGGACGGGCUGCUUCUUUGGUGGGAUCUUCUUCGCAUGUUCAUUCGGCUGGCGCGGCCGGCUGGUUUUCCCCAGGGCUCAGGUAAUCGCUCCUCUUCGUGGCCCUCCUCUUUCACGCCAAACAGCUUGCAACGCCUUCCUAGAGAACCAUAGUUGUUUCCGUAGUACGAUUUGGUGUAGCACCGGCCUGAAGUGAAGAUCCACGCCGCCCGGAAAAAUCAAGAGAGGCAGUCGCGACCAUGACGGUGGCGCAAGCUCGAGGUCGCGUCAAUGGCGGCUCAAACCAAAUUGCGCCAGAUCGGGGAAGUGGCCAUGACGAGCAGCAGUGAACGGCGUGUUCGUGGCGCUUCUUGCCGCCAGAAACACCCUUGCCGACGUCCAGCACCGCCUCGACCUUGAGUUAGGAGAUGAUCGACCUGAUGCGGACCCUCAUGACCGACGAUGACAAGGCCCGGCAAUUUCAAGCAGGAGGCCCCCCGUCUCGCCAAUCCCCCAAUUCCCCAAGCUCAGCUACAGAUUUUGCAAGAGUUCUGAUGGAUUUUGAACAAUUUCUCCCUUGGAAGUCUGUUCUUCCAUUUUCCAGAGUUUUCGGCAGACUUCAAUGAACUUCUAGAUUUUUGUGCCAUGAGGCUGUGAA